UAGGGAAUCUUGCGCAAUGGGCGAAAGCCUGACGCAGCGACGCCGCGUGGGGGAUGAAGGCCCUUGGGUCGUAAACCCCUUUCGGCAGGGAAGAAGCGAAAGUGACGGUACCUGCAGAAGAAGCCCCGGCCAACUACGUGCCAGCAGCCGCGGUAACACGUAGGGGGCGAGCGUUGUCCGGAUUCAUUGGGCGUAAAGCGCGCGCAGGCGGCCCGGAAAGUCGGUUGUGAAAACCCGGAGCUCAACUCCGGGCGUGCGUCCGAUACUGUCGGGCUCGAGGCAGGUAGGGGAGAUCGGAAUUCCUGGUGUAGCGGUGAAAUGCGCAGAUAUCAGGAGGAACACCGGUGGCGAAGGCGGAUCUCUGGGCCUGUCCUGACGCUGAGGCGCGAAAGCUAGGGGAGCGAACAG
rnacentral:rRNA from 1 species